rnacentral:lncRNA from 1 species
UACUCUUUUGUGAUGAAAGAACAAAAUUUUUUAGUCUCCAACUUGAUGUGGAACCCAAGAUCAAUUAACGUAAUCAAAAAUUCCAUAAAUAAUGAUGCAUAACCCGAGAACAAAAUAUGGAACCCAAAACCUCACAUAUCACAUUAGCAUGCAGAAACUUAUCCUUAAAUAAACCCUCCCUACUUGACACUCAACAAGGGAGUGAAAACUAAAGUAAUUGGGAUAAUUGAAUUAAUUAGAAUGCCACACCAAAAACCUUGAUAAGUUAAAAUUGAUUCAAGGAAGAGAUUGAUAAAAACGCUAUAAGUUACCUUGAUAAGUAGACAUCAAUUCUCCACUCAAUAAGAAAGUUGAAGACAACUCCUUAAGGAGCAACUUAGCCAAUGGCUAACCAAAGGUAAAAGCUUAAUUUUAUUGAU